GAUAAGAACGCAGCGAAAUGCGAUAAGUAGUGUGAAUUGCAGAAUUCAGUGAAUCAUCGAAUCUUUGAACGCACAUUGCGCCUUCUAGUAUUCUGGGAGGCAUGCCUGUUUGAGCGUCAUUAAACCUCUCUCAAGUAUGAUUACUUGGAUGUGAAGGAAGAGUACCUUAAACUUAAGGAGUGUUCUCCUUUGAAAUUGAUUAGCAGAUGGUAAUGUUAUUAAAUCCCUGAUGUUGUAAGAAAUAACAGUGGUUUUGUAGACUAUUAUCUAGCUUUAAAUUAUAAUUUUUAUUAUGGUUGACCUCAAAUCAGGUAAGGAUACCCGCUGAACUUAAGCAUAUCAAUAAGCGGAGGA
rnacentral:misc_RNA from 1 species